rnacentral:rRNA from 1 species
UGGGGAAUAUUGCACAAUGGGCGCAAGCCUGAUGCAGCCAUGCCGCGUGUAUGAAGAAGGCCUUCGGGUUGUAAAGUACUUUCAGCGGGGAGGAAGGGAGUAAAGUUAAUACCUUUACUCAUUGACGUUACCCGCAGAAGAAGCACCGGCUAACUCCGUGCCAGCAGCCGCGGUAAUACGGAGGGUGCAAGCAUUAAUCGGAAUUACUGGGCGUAAAGCGCACGCAGGCGGUUUGUUAAGUCAGAUGUGAAAUCCCCGGGCUCAACCUGGGAACUGCAUCUGAUACUGGCAAGCUUGAGUCUCGUAGAGGGGGGUAGAAUUCCAGGUGUAGCGAUGAAAUGCGUAGAGAUCUGGAGGAAUACCGGUGGCGAAGGCGGCCCCCUGGACGAAGACUGACGCUCAGGUGCGAAAGCGUGGGGAGCAAACAGG